rnacentral:rRNA from 1 species
AGAAUCAACGCUGGCGGCGUGCCUAACACAUGCAAGUCGAACGAGAAAGUGGAGCAAUCCAUGAGUAAAGUGGCGCACGGGUGAGUAACACGUGACUAACCUACCCUUGAGUGGGGAAUAACCUAGGGAAACCUGGGCUAAUACCGCAUAACACCUACGGGUCAAAGCAGCAAUGCGCUGGAAGAGGGGGUCGCGGCUGAUUAGCUAGUUGGCGGGGUAACGGCCCACCAAGGCGAAGAUCGGUA